GCUGGGAUAGCUUAACUGGUAGAGCAGCUGUAUCGUAAACAGCAGGUUCCGGGUUCAACUCCCGGUCCCAGCU
rnacentral:tRNA from 1 species